UACGUAGGGGGCAAGCGUUGUCAGGAUUUAUUGGGAGGAAAGCGCGUGUAGGCGGCCAGAAAAGUCCGCUGUGAAAACUCGAGGCUCAACUUCGAGCUGUCGGUGGAAACUUUCUGGCUAGAGUCCGGAAGAGGAGAAUGGAAUUCCUGGUGUAGCGGUGAAAUGCGCAGAUAUCAGGAAGAACACCCGUGGCGAAGGCGGUUCUCUGGGACGGUACUGACGCUGAGACGCGAAAGCGUGGGGAGCGAACAGG
rnacentral:rRNA from 1 species